GACUCGCGACGUGAUUGGAAGUAAAGAUAGGCAGUGAUAGAACAUUUCGCUUUUUGAAAGUGCUACCCGUGUGCGACCGCAGUUCGUGCCUGCAAGUGUGCUGCGAGAGAUUCGCCACGGAACACGUCAUCGACAUCCUGCUACAUUGUCAGCGACUUCUUCUGACCCCACCGUCAGCUC